AACGAACGCUGGCGGCAUGCCUAACACAUGCAAGUCGAACGAAGUCUUCGGACUUAGUGGCGCACGGGUGCGUAACGCGUGGGAAUCUGCCCUUGGGUACGGAAUAACUCAGAGAAAUUUGUGCUAAUACCGUAUAAUGACUUCGGUCCAAAGAUUUAUCGCCCAAGGAUGAGCCCGCGUAAGAUUAGCUAGUUGGUGGGGUAAAGGCCCACCAAGGCGACGAUCUUUAGCUGGUCUGAGAGGAUGAUCAGCCACACUGGGACUGAGACACGGCCCAGACUCCUACGGGAGGCAGCAGUGGGGAAUAUUGGACAAUGGGCGAAAGCCUGAUCCAGCAAUGCCGCGUGAGUGAUGAAGGCCUUAGGGUUGUAAAGCUCUUUUACCCGGGAUGAUAAUGACAGUACCGGGAGAAUAAGCUCCGGCUAACUCCGUGCCAGCCGCCGCGGUAACAC
rnacentral:rRNA from 1 species